GUUUGAGUGACGGAACAGAGCGUGUUGAGAUGUUUGUCUGUCAGUAACUCCUCGCUGAUGUUGUGCUUUAUUCUGCAGAGCAUUUGUUUCCCUUGAGGGCCUCAGCGCUGCGCCGCGGAUCAACACAAGAGACAGAGUUCUUUGAGGAAUUCACCACAAGCUGGUUCAACUUUACAAAUCUGCUUCUGUGUGUAAAUAAAACUCACUACAAUUACAGUGGAGUUGAUUCCCAUAACAUGUGAGCCGCAGGGCAAAGAUGGCCGCCAGAAGAUUCCAGAUGAAAGCAGACAGCAGCUGACAGAGUGAAGAGCUGCAGGCCAGCCUCCAGAAUAAAGACAUGAUCUUCACACUCAAACACACUUUACAUUAUGGACAUCAACACACACACAUUGGGUUGAAAGAGAUCAAAUAUGCACACUUCUCAAAACCAUUUGUUCUUUCAUUGUUCAGGAACCAAACUGCAGCUUUCCUUUUUCUAGAGUCUCUUAAACCUGAGAGAUGAACAGAACAACUG